UACGUAGGGUGCAAGCGUUAAUCGGAAUUACUGGGCGUAAAGCGUGCGCAGGCGGUUUUGUAAGUCUGUCGUGAAAUCCCCGGGCUCAACCUGGGAAUUGCGAUGGAGACUGCAAGGCUAGAAUCUGGCAGAGGGGGGUAGAAUUCCACGUGUAGCAGUGAAAUGCGUAGAGAUGUGGAGGAACACCGAUGGCGAAGGCACCCCCUGGGUCAAGAUUGACGCUCAUGCACGAAAGCGUGGGGAGCAAACAGGG
rnacentral:rRNA from 1 species